CGCCCCACCUCGGGGUGCCCGGCAGGGCUGAGAUGCACGAUGCGAACCCGUUGAACCUGACCCGGUUAACACCGGCGGAGGGAAGGUGACGGCACCGCAC
rnacentral:ncRNA from 2 species